AUGAACGCUGGCGGCGUGCCUAACACAUGCAAGUCGAACGGAGUCCAGCCUUUAAGACCUUCGGGUCAAAGAGGGGAAGACUGAGUGGCGGACGGGUGAGUAACACGUGGGCAACCUGGCUCAUAGAGGGGGAUAACAGAGAGAAAUUUCUGCUAAUACCGCGUAAGCACACACUGCCGCAUGGCAGAGGGUGAAAAGAGAAUCGCUAUGAGAUGGACCCGCGUCUGAUUAGCCAGUUGGCAGGGUAAGAGCCUACCAAAGCGACGAUCAGUAGCCGAUCUGAGAGGAUGAACGGCCACAUUGGGACUGAGACACGGCCCAAACUCCUACGGGAGGCAGCAGUGGGGGAUAUUGCACAAUGGGGGGAACCCUGAUGCAGCGACGCCGCGUGAGUGAAGAAGUAUUUCGGUAUGUAAAGCUCUAUCAGCAGGGAAGAUAAUGACAGUACCUGAAUAAGAAGCCCCGGCUAACUACGUG
rnacentral:rRNA from 1 species